rnacentral:tRNA from 1 species
GGUCUGGUAGUUCAGUUGGUUAGAAUACCUGCCUGUCACGCAGGGGGUCGCGGGUUCGAGUCCCG